rnacentral:rRNA from 1 species
CCUACGGGUGGCAGCAGUAGGGAAUAUUGCUCAAUGGGGGAAACCCUGAAGCAGCAACGCCGCGUGGAGGAUGAAGGUUUUCGGAUUGUAAACUCCUUUUGUUAGAGAAGAUAAUGACGGUAUCUAACGAAUAAGCACCGGCUAACUCCGUGCCAGCAGCCGCGGUAAUACGGAGGGUGCAAGCGUUACCCGGAAUCACUGGGCGUAACGAGCGCGUAGGCGGGAUAGCAAGUCAGAGGUGAAAUCCUAUGGCUUAACCAUAGAACUGCAUUUGACACUGUUAUUCUAGAGGAUGGGAGAGGUAGGUGGAAUUCUUGGUGUAGGGGUCCAAUCCGUAGAGAUCACGAGGAAUACUCAUUGCGACGGCGACCUGCUAGAACAUACCUGACGCUGAUGCGCGAAAGCGUGGGGAGCAAACCGGAUUAGAUACCCCAGUAGUC